UACGGAGGGUGCGAGCGUUAAUCGGAAUUAUUGGGCGUAAAGGGCGCGUAGGUGGUUAAAUAAGUUAGAUGUAAAAACCCUGGGCUUAACCUAGGACUGAGAGUUAAUACUGUUGAACUAGAGUAUGGGAGAGGGUAGUGGAAUUUCCGGUGUAGCGGUGAAAUGCGUAGAGAUCGGAAGGAACACCAGUGGCGAAGGUGGCUACCUGGCCUAAUACUGACACUGAGGCACGAAAGCGUGGGGAGUAAACAGG
rnacentral:rRNA from 1 species